ACAGUUUCCAGCCGCCGCUCUCCUCAGUGCCCGGUGGCCCAGGAGGGCCUGAGAGCCCGAAGCCGUCCCCGAGUCGCUCCUAGGUCACUGGCGCGAUGCGGGCCGUCCUCUCGGUUGAUGGGUUGGAAGCCCAGCGAGGCUAGAGGCCAGUCCCAAAGUCUCCAGGCAUCAGGGCUGCAGCCCAGGAGCCUCAAGGCGGCCCGGCGGGCGACUGGACGGCCGGACAGGUCCCGAGCAGCCCGGCCCACCAUGGACCCCUCUGCCCACAGGUCCCGAGCAGCCCCGCCCAACAUGGACCCAGACCCCCAGGCGGGCGUGCAGGUGGGCAUGCGGGUGGUGCGCGGCGUGGACUGGAAGUGGGGCCAGCAGGACGGCGGCGAGGGCGGCGUGGGCACGGUGGUGGAGCUUGGCCGCCACGGCAGCCCCUCGACACCCGACCGCACAGUGGUCGUGCAGUGGGACCAGGGCACGCGCACCAACUACCGCGCCGGCUACCAGGGCGCGCACGACCUGCUGCUGUACGACAACGCCCAGAUCGGUGCGCGCCAAGGGCAGGCGGGACGGGCAGGACCCGGGGGCGGGAACGCCCCUCUGACCCCACCCCACCCCCAGGCGUCCGGCACCCCAACAUCAUCUGUGACUGCUGCAAGAAGCACGGGCUGCGGGGGAUGCGCUGGAAGUGCCGCGUGUGCCUGGACUACGACCUCUGCACGCAGUGCUACAUGCACAACAAGCAUGAGCUCGCCCACGCCUUCGACCGCUACGAGACCGCUCACUCGCGCCCUGUCACACUGAGUCCCCGCCAGGGCCUCCCGAGGAUCCCACUAAGGGGCAUCUUCCAGGGAGCGAAGGUGGUGCGAGGCCCCGACUGGGAGUGGGGCUCACAGGAUGGAGGGGAAGGGAAACCGGGCCGUGUGGUGGACAUCCGUGGCUGGGAUGUGGAGACAGGCCGGAGUGUGGCCAGCGUGACGUGGGCUGAUGGUACCACCAAUGUGUACCGUGUGGGCCACAAGGGCAAGGUGGACCUCAAGUGUGUGGGCGAGGCAGCGGGCGGCUUCUACUACAAGGACCACCUCCCAAGGCUCGGCAAGCCGGCGGAGCUGCAGCGCAGGGUGAGUGCUGACAGCCAGCCCUUCCAGCACGGGGACAAGGUCAAGUGUCUGCUGGACACUGAUGUCCUGCGGGAGAUGCAGGAAGGCCACGGCGGCUGGAACCCCAGGAUGGCGGAGUUUAUCGGACAGACGGGCACCGUGCAUCGUAUCACGGACCGCGGGGAUGUGCGCGUGCAGUUCAACCACGAGACGCGCUGGACCUUCCACCCCGGGGCGCUCACCAAGCACCACUCCUUCUGGGUGGGCGACGUGGUCCGGGUCAUCGGCGACCUUGACACAGUGAAGCGGCUGCAGGCUGGGCAUGGCGAGUGGACGGACGACAUGGCCCCUGCCCUGGGCCGCGUCGGGAAGGUGGUGAAAGUGUUUGGAGACGGGAACCUGCGUGUAGCAGUCGCUGGUCAGCGGUGGACCUUCAGCCCCUCCUGCCUGGUGGCCUACCGGCCCGAGGAGGAUGCCAACCUGGAUGUGGCCGAGCGCGCCCGGGAGAACAAAAGUGCGGCACAGCUCAGGCGGCCAGUGGGAGGUGGGGCUGCCCCUGGCCACCACUAACCUCAGCCCUGCCCCCAGGCUCACUGAGCGUGGCCCUGGACAAGCUUCGGGCCCAGAAGAGUGACCCAGAGCACCCGGGAAGGCUGGUGGUGGAGGUGGCGCUGGGUAACGCAGCCCGGGCUCUGGACCUGCUGCGGAGGCGCCCAGAGCAGGUGGACACCAAGAACCAAGGCAGGACCGCUCUGCAAGUGGCUGCCUACCUGGGCCAGGUGGAGUUGAUACGGCUGCUGCUACAAGCCAGGGCGGGCGUGGACCUGCCGGACGACGAGGGCAACACGGCGCUGCACUACGCAGCCCUGGGGAACCAGCCCGAGGCCGCCAGGGUGCUCCUGAGUGCUGGGUGCCGGGCGGACGCCAUCAACAGCACCCAGAGCACCGCACUGCACGUGGCCGUGCAGAGGGGCUUCCUGGAGGUGGUGCGGGCCCUGUGUGAGCGCGGCUGUGACGUCAACCUGCCUGACGCCCACUCGGACACGCCCCUGCACUCCGCCAUCUCGGCGGGCACUGGAGCCAGCGGCAUUGUCGAGGUCCUCACGGAGGUGCCAAACAUCGAUGUGACCGCCACCAACAGCCAGGGCUUCACCCUGCUGCACCACGCCUCCCUCAAGGGUCACGCGCUGUGAGUGUGGGGUUGUGGGGUGGGCACACAGCUGCAGCCGGCCUCUUGCUGUGCUGCCUGGGGGCAGUCCCAGGUCCCAGACCAACCUCCCUGCUCCACAGAGCUGUGAGAAAGAUUCUGGCUCGGGCGCGGCAGCUGGUGGACGCCAAGAAGGAGGACGGCUUCACGGCGCUGCACCUGGCCGCCCUCAACAACCACCGCGAGGUGGCCCAGAUCCUCAUCCGGGAGGGCCGCUGUGACGUGAAUGUGCGCAACCGGAAGCUGCAGUCCCCGCUGCAUCUCGCCGUGCAGCAGGCCCACGUGGGGCUGGUGCCGCUACUGGUGGACGCUGGGUGCAGUGUCAACGCCGAGGACGAGGAGGGGGACACCGCCCUGCACGUGGCGCUGCAGCAUCAUCAGCUGCUGCCCCUGGUGGCUGAUGGGGCCGGGGGGGACCCAGGGCCCUUGCAGCUGCUGUCCAGGCUACAGGCCUCGGGCCUCCCCGGCAGCGCGGAGCUGACGGUGGGCGCGGCGGUCGCCUGCUUCCUGGCGCUGGAGGGCGCCGACGUGAGCUACACCAACCACCGCGGUCGGAGCCCGCUGGACCUGGCUGCCGAGGGUCGUGUGCUCAAGGCCCUUCAGGGCUGCGCCCAGCGCUUCCAGUGAGUCCGUGGACGGCGGGGAUGGGGUCCGGCGGCCUCCGGGACCCUCUCAAGCCGCCUCCUCCCCCUGCAGGGAGCGGCAGGCGGGCGGGGGCGCGGCCCCAGGCCCCCGGCAAACGCUCGGGACCCCCAACACCGUGACGAACCUGCACGUGGGCGCCGCGCCGGGGCCCGAGGCCGCUGAGUGCCUGGUGUGCUCCGAGCUGGCGCUGCUGGUGCUGUUCUCGCCAUGCCAGCACCGCACCGUGUGUGAGGGUGAGUGGGGGGCCCCGGGGUGGGGGGCCCGGGUAGUAGGGCCCCAGCCAACCGCGCUCUCCUCUUCGCAGAGUGCGCGCGCAGAAUGAAGAAGUGCAUCAGGUGCCAGGUGGUCGUCAGCAAGAAAUUGCGCCCAGACGGCUCUGAGGUGGCGAGCGCCGCCCCCGCCCCCGGCCCGCCGCGCCAGCUGGUGGAGGAGCUGCAGAGCCGCUACCGGCAGAUGGAGGAACGCAUCACCUGCCCCAUCUGCAUCGACAGCCACAUCCGCCUCGUGUUCCAGUGCGGCCACGGCGCAUGCGCCCCCUGCGGCUCCGCGCUCAGCGCCUGCCCCAUCUGCCGCCAGCCCAUCCGCGACCGCAUCCAGAUCUUCGUGUGAGCCGCGCCGUCCGCCGCGCCCGAGCUGCCUUCGCGUGCCCCCGCCCUGUGUUUUAUAAAAAGAUUCUCGG
rnacentral:sRNA from 1 species